GACGAAGGGGCUAGCGUUGUUCGGAAUUCACUGGGCGUAAAGCGCGUGUAGGCGGUUGCCAGUAGUACAGGUGUGAAAGCCUUGAGCUUAACUACGAAGAAUGCACUUGAUACUGGGCGACUAGAGGACCGGAGAGGAUAGUGAAUUCCAGUGUAGUGGUGAAAUGCGUAGAGAUCGGGAAGGAACACCUGUGGCGAAGGCGGACCCCCUGGGCCGGCCCUGACACUGAGACGCGAAGGCGUGGGGAGCGAACGGG
rnacentral:rRNA from 1 species